UCCAUUUGAUUAUAUAUAUGUGUGUGUAAAGUUGCCAGUUUUUGUUCUUCAAACGUAAAUUUUUGCGUCCCCUUCGAGAAAGCGACUCUGCAAUUCGUCUUCACCUUCCUUAGAGCAGCGGACUUUUAUAUAAGGUUUUUGCUUUCCUUCGUUUGCUGCAUUCAUCAUCUCAAUCCACAGCCAGUGAAGAAGAAUUGGGUUUUACAAGGUGGGGAUACCUAGGAAAGAGAAGAAGUUGUCCUGCCCACAAGGUAUUUGUAUGUUUGUCUAGCUAGGCAUGGGCGAAUCUUUAGGCUUAUAGCUGUUUGCGACUGUAUUUUCUUUUUCUAGCUAUGCGUUAAUUGGAUGGAUCAAUGAUAAGUUUUGCUGGAUUUUCAUGAUGAUUUAAAAGUUUCUGAUGUUGAAUGGAAUGGGGUAAAUGUGAUUAUUAGUUCUUCAUGUCAUGUAAUAAUCUUAUGCUGAAUUGAUGAUUUCUUGCUCUCAUAUU